rnacentral:lncRNA from 1 species
CCUUUAUUUCCAAUUUGAGGGAGUCCCACAGAAGUCUAGGAUCUAUUUCAUUUUUUCCUAUCUCAUUACUUUGUUUUUGUAUAAUUUGAUUUAUUUUGUCUUCGUAUUCUUGCUCGUCGAGAAUACCGUUGUUAAUUUUCCAAUAUCCCGGGCCUCUUGUUUCAGAUGAUACAGAUUGUAAUUGUAUUGAUACUGCUUGGUGGUCAGUACUUUUAAUAAGAAUAGGCCUAAUAUCACAUGACUUUACGUUUAACACGAAGUCUUUUUUAACAAGGAACAUGUCAAUUCUACUAGACUGGACUGGA